rnacentral:rRNA from 1 species
UGAGUAACACGUAUCCAACCUGCCGUCUACUCUUGGACAGCCUUCUGAAAGGAAGAUUAAUACAAGAUGGCAUCAUGAGUCCGCAUGUUCACAUGAUUAAAGGUAUUCCGGUAGACGAUGGGGAUGCGUUCCAUUAGAUAGUAAGCGGGGUAACGGCCCACCUAGUCUUCGAUGGAUAGGGGUUCUGAGAGGAAGGUCCCCCACAUUGGAACUGAGACACGGUCCAA